rnacentral:rRNA from 1 species
UACGAAGGGGGCGAGCGUUGUUCGGAAUUACUGGGCGUAAAGGGCGCGUAGGCGGCCCCUUUUGUCGCGUGUGAAAGCCCCGGGCUCAACCUGGGAGGUGCGCGCGAAACGGGGGGGCUUGAGUUCGGGAGAGGAGAGUGGAAUUCCCAGUGUAGAGGUGAAAUUCGUAGAGAUCGGGAGGAACACCAGUGGCGAAGGCGCCUAUCUGGCUGACAACUGACGCUGAGACUCGAAAGCAUGGGGAGCAAACAGG